rnacentral:lncRNA from 10 species
CGGCGCCAGCCUAGCCCGAGGAUGGAGGCUGAGGCCGCCUGUUGAGUCACAGUUUCCCUGUGAUGCUCAUUUUAACCAGAUGGCACUUGCUUAGCAGUUUGGAGGAGAAGACCUGUUCCCCUGCAGCCUUCCAUGAUUAGACCUCAACUCAUGAGAACUCUUGCCUUGCUCACAAGUGGGAGUAAAUGCUCAUAGCUCUAGAAAUCUCCCAGGAACCAGACAUCACGGAAACUAGAAAGGCUAAGGGAGUCCAAUCUUCCUCUAAAUUGGCCAACAGUAGAGUGGUGGAAAGAGAACAAGCUGCAAACCAGACAGACCCAAGCUUGAAUCUCACCUCUGCCAAGCUACCAGGGACCUACCCCGAACUUUCAUGAACCCCUGGUAGCUGAAUAGCAGCUUGUCUAAGCGAGGUGCAGGGAUUUUGUCAAAGUCGGCCUCGGUGUUAAAGGCAGGGCCACCUACCAUGAACUUCUCUCUGUGACUUUAUUCUUUAGCAGUGCUCAAGUGUAAAUAAACUUGUUUACCAGGAUCAGAAUGGCCAUGUUAAUGAAGUCUUAUUUGUGUCACCACAAUGACAAGUAAUUUGUGCACAGCUGGACUCGGAGAGGGGACAAAACCAGAGAAAUUGUAUUUCUGUUCUGAAGUUUCCAUACAGAUGCCUUAGGCCAAAGUUAGUACAGCCAAUAUUUGCCUGUUUCUUUGGAUUGUGUGUCCAUGCUGGAGAAAAGCCUUGUUACUGUGCCCAGUGUGGUAAACGAAAUUAUAUGUACGCAGUGAGAAGAAAAAUGAAAUAAGAAGCACUGAUGAAUGUACCCACGGGUGUGACCUUGGGGGCCAGUGUGUGGUUUUUAUGAAAUGAACGCAUGAAUACGAGGACCCUAAUUAUUGCUUUCAACGGACAAAGUAUGGUGAAUAUAUAGAGAACGUUGCUGUACAACACUGGCUGUGUCUCAAAGCGGCUUUAGAAGUAAAUAUAGAAAUUCUUUGGUACAUGGUAUUGCAUAGAAAAGUCAUUAAGAAAAAAGCAAGACAAUUUGUUAAGACCUUGUUAAGUGGAGCUGGGGGAUGAUUAAUUUUGUUUGUUUGUUUUUGUUGUUCCCUGGUAGAGCUCAACAAACUACAGACCACGGGCCAAAUCUGACCCACCGCUGCUUUUGUAAAUAAAACUUUAUUGGAAAAAAGCCACAUUUGUGUAUGUGUUGUCUGUGGCUGCUUUUGUGCUACCGAGACAGAGGAGUGAACCUCAUCCAAGCCACUGAAGGCCUGAAUGGAAUGAAAA